AGUCAACAAUCACUGGAUCCUUUGAUACUUGCUUGAACAUUACGUCCACAGGUACAGUCAUAAUUUGGGCGCUCCAGAAUGCAGCAAACCCCGGCGACCAAGCUGACGUUGAUCAAAGAGGAUCCACGAUGACUUGCAUCAAGGAAAAGUCACGGCACCAUUGUGACCGGUCUUUAUCUUCUCUCUGCGUUGUGUUGAUAUUUUAACCAGACUGGACAACAAGAGAUUCUUUGGACCACUUUUUUUAUUCUGAAUG
ensembl:lncRNA